AAUUAAAUAAGCUAUAUAAGCUAACGGGUUCAUACCUCGUAUAAGAGGUGUAUGCCUGAUUA
rnacentral:tRNA from 1 species